UACGGAGGGUGCGAGCGUUUGUCCGGAAUCACUGGGCGUAAAGGGCGCGUAGGCGGCCGGAGAAGUCGGUGGUGAAAGCUCGGGGCUCAACUCCGAGUCGGCCACCGAUACUGUUCGGCUCGAGUUUGGUAGAGGCAGAUGGGAAUUCCGGGUGGUAGCGGUGGAAUGCGUAGAGAUCCGGAAGAACACCGGUGGCGAAGGCGGUCUGCUGGGCCAAGACUGGACGCUGAGGCGC
rnacentral:rRNA from 1 species